rnacentral:rRNA from 1 species
GACAGAGGAUGCAAGCGUUAUCCGGAAUGAUUGGGCGUAAAGCGUCUGUAGGUGGCUUUUUAAGUCCGCCGUCAAAUCCCAGGGCUCAACCCUGGACAGGCGGUGGAAACUACCAAGCUGGAGUACGGUAGGGGCAGAGGGAAUUUCCGGUGGAGCGGUGAAAUGCGUAGAGACCCGGAGGAACACCAGUGGCGAAGGCGGCUCCUGGUCUGCGACUGACGCUGUGGCGCGAAAGCUAGGGGAGCAA